GAGCAAGUCCUCAUCUACCGAUUUUACAUUUUAUUAUUCAUCUAUUAAGAUUUGUAAUCUAAACAUCACAUUUUUGUUUCUUUCAGACUAUAGAGUUGUCUUAGACAGUGGCAAUUCUAUACUGAAGAAAGGAAAACUAGAUGCCUCCUUCCUUCCAGUUUCCAAUGACUCAGAGAAGUCACAGGUCAUGGGUCAGGUUGGGAGGGACUCUGGAAGACCAACACAAACUACUUCAACAAUGCCUUCCUCCUCUUCCACUACAAAGUUGAGCCAAAGUCACUUCAACAAGGAACUGGAACUACACACUGCGCAAGAGUGCUCAGCUUAUGGAUUCUCUUCCUCCCGUAAUCGGCGCUCCAAAUCAUUGGACCAGAGACGAUCUAAGGCCAAAACCACAGUCAGUCAUAGCAUUUACAGUACUGUGCCAAGGUUUUAAAAAUGCUGAAGAAUGAAUACUAAAAGAAUUUUGAAAUCAAAAUAGCAAUAGUUUCUUUAGCAAUUUACAAAAUGCAAAGUGAGAAAACAAAAGGAAUACCAUUAUUUGGUGCUACUACCCUUUGUCUUCAAACCAUCAUAAUUUCUUAUUGUCACGUCCAUGCGGGCAUACGGAGAGGAGGACGAAGAGUGACGAGGAAUGGAGGACGCUUUCACCUGACAUCACGGAACAGGGGUUUAAUGGUGAAUCACAGGACAGGGGAGACAUCCGAGACGUAGACACUGGUGAACACGGAACAUAACUUCAAAGACCUGACAGCGGACAGAAACGAACAGGGCAGCUUUAUACAAUUAACACAGG
rnacentral:lncRNA from 1 species